AGUACGUUUUAGUGUGAGUCGGGCCUUCUGGAACGGAUUAAUGACGCUAACCGAGGUUCCGCUGUUCUGCAACCGGUGAACUUAACAUGAAAUUCAUAAUAUCCAUAAUCAAGCACAUUUCCUGGGAAUUGACUGUAUUGGGUUCAAGCGUGAAAAAGAACCAUUUUGGUAUGAUCUGUUGGAUAAGACGGAAAUGCCUCACAAUCCAAAAACGAUUUAGAAAAUAUCUCCUUAGAAACGGCUCGUUGUCCUGGCGGACCAGGUUUCCUCACUCCAUCCUGUCGCUACCGUCACCAUUGAUCUGCACCACACAGUCCUUGUCUAGAGGUUCCUUGGAGUGCGUCGUGUCGAAGUGAUGGUUGCUCAUCAUGUACCUCCCGUGGGCAUCAAACGCUAAGGCGGGCACAAAGCGCCGGUCGAACUGGAUUUCCUGGCGAAGGGCCGGGUAGAGCGGACUGCGGCGGUCCAGCGGAUGGAAGAAGGUGAGUGGGAAGAUGAAGAAGGGACAAGGCUGUUGGCCCAGAUGAUCCGCGAAGAAGUCCACGGAGGUUUGGUGCAGGGCUUGACCGUCGUUCUCCUCGUAGAGAACGGCACUCACCUUCACGUCCACCAGGGGGCGCCUCAGCAGAUUUGCCGCUCGCAGCAUGAGGCACGUUUGGCCCUGGUGUUGGCCCACCACGGCCUGGGGGCUGAACUGGAUGGCCCCGGCUCGCUUCUGGGGACAGGAAAUCUUGGCCACAAAUGCACCUGGUAGACAAUUAAGAGAUGUUCCGGAAUUGAACGCUUGUUGAGAGAAGGCUCGAGGGAACGCGUACCUGUGAUGAACGCCUCCAGCAUGAGCCCCAGCAGCAUUUGCACGGCCAACAGAGCGAUGGCACUGGGACAGUCCCCGCUGGGGAACAUGGUGCCGUAGCCGAUGGUGAGCUGCGUCUCAAGGGAGAAGGAGAAGGCGGCGGUGAAGCUGGUGAUGUGCUUCACGCAGACCACGUGGCCCUGCGGAGGCGCGUCGUGAUCCAGCACGUCCAGAUCUCCAUUGAUGUGGGCCAGCAAGUACCACAGACACGCGAAAAGAAGCCAGUGCGCCACAAAGGAUGCGCAGAAGGCCAAGAGAACCCAUCUCCAGCGCAGACCCACCAACUGUCCCCACAUGUCGUGGACGGCCAGCAGCCAGGCCCGGUGGCUCGACGCUCCGAGCCAUGAGCCCGAGGGACGCGGGGGAGGGCGGAGCGUGCAACGUCCAUCUUUGGUGACCAGACGUUGGCGGUUUGGGGGGGACAGAAGAGGGGAGGACAACGCCUUGCCACCCAGAACUAUACUGUUGGAUUUGCUUGUCAUCUUUAGAGGUCCUGAAAUGAAGAACACAUCAUGAAAGACAUAUUUUAUAAUAUUUUAUGUUAUUGUUAUGACUAAUGUUUUUGUGAAACACUUUUUAUUUACGUGCUAAUUUGACCAAAGACAUAAUGACAAUGGGUGAUCAUUUUAGGGAUGUCGGAUAAUUAUCAGUACCGAUCGAUAUCAGCCAGAUAUCAGCAUAAAAAUGUAAUAUCGGUCGAUACCGGUAUCUGAUUUAUUAUUAUUAUAAUAAUACCGAUAUCUUAAAAAUGCUUUGUACAACAUUCCACCACAGGAGAUAUGUCAUGUUACACAUAUCGUUAUCAGUAUCAGUAGAUAUCGGUAUCGGACUGAACAAAUGAGCCAAUAUCGGACAUGGUUAGUGAUAAUGAAGGAUUUUUGAGUUUUGGUAACAUCCCUUUCCUCCAUUUAUGCAUGCAUUUACGUGCUAAUUUGACCAGAGACAUAAUGACAAUGGGUGAUAAUUUUUAGGAAUUUCGGUUAAUUAUCAGUACCGGUCGAUAUCGGCCCGAUAUCAGCAUAAAAAUGUAAUAUCGGUCGAUAUCGGUAUCUGAUUUAUUAUUAUAAUAAUACCGAUAUCUUAAAAAUACUUUGUACAACAUUCCACCACAGGAGAUAUGUCAUGUUACACAUAUCAGUAUCAGUUGAUAUCGGAUUCGGACUGAACAAAUAAGCCAAUAUCGGACACCCUUAGUGAUAAUGAAGGAUUUUUGAGUUUUGGUAACAUUCCUUUCCUCCAUUUAUGCAUGCAUUUACAUGCUAAUUUGACCAGAGACAUAAUGAGAAUGGGUGAUCAUUUUAGGGAUGUUGCAUAAUUAUCAGUACCGAUCGAUAUCGGCCCGAUAUCAGCAUAAAAAUGUUCAUUUGAGAAAUCUAGUUUGAAUGAAAAACUGACUUUUUAUCCAAUGCCAAAGCUUUGAAGAUAGGUUUAUAUCUUAUGUUAGAAUAAUAUAAUAAUAAUAAUAUAAUAAUAUUGUUUUUUGUUGUUUUUUAUUGAUUUCGACAGAACCACAUAUCUGCUUUGGCAAAAACACGCAAGUGAUUAAUUAAUUAUGAGGUUACCAAUAACACAAAACACCUCAAUGGAA